AUUGAACGCUAGCGGGAUGCUUUACACAUGCAAGUCGAACGAGUGGCGGACGGGUGAGUAAUGUAUCAGAACGUCCCCAGUAGCGGGGGAUAACUACUCGAAACGGUGGCUAAUACCGCAUACUAUUACAGUGGCGGAUGUCGGAUUAGCUAGUUGGUGGGUGAAAGGCUAACCAAGGCAACGAUCCGUAGCUGGUCUGAGAGGACGACCAGCCACACUGGGACUGCGACACGGCCCAGACUCCUACGGGAGGCAGCAGUGGGGAAUUUGGGGCAAUGGGGGAAACCCGGAUCAAGCCAUGCCGCGUGUAUGAGAAGGCCUUCGGGUUGUAAAGUACUUUUGGCAGAGAAGCGGUAUCUGCAGAAUAAGCACCGGCUAACUACGUGCCAGCAGCCGCGGUAAUUC
rnacentral:rRNA from 1 species